rnacentral:rRNA from 1 species
AGUAGCAGCCAUAUCACCCUGUAGCCCAAGACUGGUUGCCCACUGAAGCUAAGCAGGGCUGAGCCUGGUUAGUACCUGGAUGGGAGACCUCCUGGGAAAACUAGGUUGCUGCUGGAA